GAUGAACGCUGGCGGCGUGCUUAACACAUGCAAGUCGAACGGAAAGGCCCUGCUUGCAGGGUACUCGAGUGGCGAACGGGUGAGUAACACGUGGGUGAUCUGCCCUGCACUUCGGGAUAAGCCUGGGAAACUGGGUCUAAUACCGGAUAGGAGCCAUUUUUAGUGUGAUGGUUGGAAAGUUUUUUCGGUGUAGGAUGAGCUCGCGGCCUAUCAGCUUGUUGGUGGGGUAAUGGCCUACCAAGGCGGCGACGGGUAGCCGGCCUGAGAGGGUGGACGGCCACAUUGGGACUGAGAUACGGCCCAGACUCCUACGGGAGGCAGCAGUGGGGAAUAUUGCACAAUGGGCGCAAGCCUGAUGCAGCGACGCCGCGUGGGGGAUGACGGCCUUCGGGUUGUAAACUCCUUUCGCUAGGGACGAAGCUUUUUGUGACGGUACCUAGAGAAGAAGCACCGGCUAACUACGUG
rnacentral:rRNA from 1 species